UAAACUAGGAUUAGAUACCCUAUUAUUUUGAACGUUAAAAUUUACUAGGGUAGUAUUAGUUAUUUUCUUUAAACCCAAAGAAUUUGGCGGUGUUAUUAAUCUGUUUAGAGGAACCUGUUCCUUAAUCGAUAAUCCUCGUUUUAUCUUUCUUUGAUUAUUAGUAUGUAUACCUCCGUUAAAAGUUUAUGUUAUUAGGUUGUUAAUUUACUUUUUAUUUUAUUUGAUUUUAUUUCAGGUCAAGGUGCAGCUUAUAUUAAAGUGGUUAAUGGGUUACAAUAUUAUUUGAAUAUUUUGGAUUUAAAUCUGAAUUUGAUUUAAUGAAAUUGGAUUUAAUGGUAAUUUAGUUUAUAGAGAUUAUUUGAAUUAUUGCUCUGGGAUAAGUACACAUCG
rnacentral:rRNA from 1 species